UCGUAUUGAAUUUGUGUGCCACACUGUCGGUACACCGCUCGUCGGUGCUUACUGACACGAUGUGGGACGUCCUACCGGUGGGCUUAGCUUUGCUCCGGCUUAGCGGUCCAAAGAUAUAUCCCAUCGCGGUGCUCUUUACUGAGUGUCGAGGUGGGCCGGUACGUUUACUUUGAACAAAUUAAAGUGCUUAAAGCAGGCUACAUUCGCCUGAAUAUUCUGUGCAUGGAAUAAUGGAAUAGGACCUCGGUUCUAUUUUGUUGGUUUUCGGAACCCCGAGGUAAUGAUUAAUAGGGACAGAUGGGGGCAUUCGUAUUGCGA
rnacentral:rRNA from 1 species